CCACAGACAUGGCAGCCCGGGCCGGCAGUCCCUGGCCAGCGAGCAAAGGGGCUGCGGAGCGAGGCCCGCGCCCCGAGGUGGGCGAGUGCGCGUACGAGUCACAGAAUAAGUUAGAUUAGAAAAGACCUUUGAGAUCAUCGAGUCCAACCUGAGACAGAAUACCACCGUGUCAACCAGAUCACGGCACUGAGUGCCAUGUCCAGUCUUACGUUAAACACCUCCAGGGACGGAGACUCCACCACCGCUCCUGGCAGCUCCCAAUGCCUAAUUGCCCCUUCUGUGAAUAAAUUCCUCCUAAUCUGGGAGCGCUCUGUACUGCCCAUCCCGGAGGUGUCCAGAGCUGCCUCGGGCUCCCGUCGGCAUUAUAAAAAAACAUAUAUGCAAAACAUAAAUGAAAACCCCAAAACCCCACACUUGUAUGCCAAAGGGUAAAUAAGCGCACAAGCCCCGCGCUCUCUGCCAGGCCCCCGCGCGUGCCGGUGAUGGCGCAGGGCACGGUCUGAGGGAUCGCAGAGCCCUGACAGCGCACCCGCCCCUCAGAGGGGCUGUCGCAGGCGCAGGUGACACUGGCGCGGUUCUUCCCCAGCCUUCUCGGCCCCUGAGCCGUCCCAGAGGUUACGGACCCACCACGAGAUUUCCUCAAAUCUCUGAGGGCUCGUCCGUGAGGAAAUGCCCCAACCCGGCAUUUCCCUUCGGUGCGUUUGGACUCCGUCGGGCCGCACACCAUUACGGGAUAGGAGUGGAAGGCAAAUGCAGGCACGUGCGUGUUUUUAAUGGAAAAUCAGGGGGUGUUGAUCCAAAACCGGACAUUUGCGAGGCGGGCUUCCCUUGCCGCUCACCCUCAGGGCUGAGCUCUCUGCAAUCCACGUAAGAGCCGAAGCAGGUAUUUGGGAAGAGCCUAGACUAAACACAGAAUCCCUACUGCAGCCUGCAAGAGGAGUCUACAGGCGGGAGGAGAUUCACAGCCCUUAUUCCUCCAAGGGGAUUUUUCCCACAAGCACACCUGGUCACCCAUUCAUACCAAUAGAAAACCAAGAAGAGAUGGAAUCGAUUCAUUAAAACAAAGGACAUUGCAUGAGACUGGGCCACAGCCUGUCUGGAGCUGAGCUGCUUCACCUCUGGAGUUUCUAACUUCCAGAUGUUUGUGUUGCUUUCCUGGGCUGGCCAACAAGAAAGCUGAGGUGGAGGAUGAGUCUGAUGUCCUGGAAAAGCCAUAGAGUCAGAAUGAGAGAGCACAGGUAUUGCAGAGCUUUUCAGCUCCUCUUGCUGCACACAGCCUUUUCACAAAGGUAGAGCUGGGACUUGUCUGUAUUUCUCUCCCUGCUGUCCUUCUGAACACCAUUCUGCAUGCAAAUGUUGAAUGCAUGGACUAAAUACCUUGAAGCUCAUCCUUUCCAGGAGAUGCACAUUACCUUGUCUUCUUCAAGCCUCUGUAUGGCUUAUACUGCAGCUGAUGCCAAAGCACAAGUGAGGGGAAAAACGGUGGUGGAAAUUCAAGGAAAGAAGGAAGCCAGGGCAGCUCUGACAACUUUUAUGUCUCCUCCUAAAGCUGGCAUGGGCCUACACAGACUGGGGGAAGCACAUGUAUCCAUGUCUUCAGCUCACAGCAGUUUGGAAUGAGGGUAAGAGGACCUAUCAUCCCAAACCCAAGCCAUUUUCCUAAAGAAGCUGUUGGAGAUCUUUGGUGCUGCCUCCCAUAGCCACCUCCUGGCACAGUAGAGGUGGUGGUACCAGUCUCCUCCAGCAGUAUCUGCAAGUGUAUGGGAAGCAGGUGGAGGCAUGGCUGGGGAAAUGGGGGGGCACAGAGCAGGGCGGAUGGACUAAGUGUCCAAAACAGAGAGAGAAAAUUAAAAUCCUACAGAGGGAACCCUUCCUACUCUUGGAAGGUACUUUGAAGGGCUGUUUUAAAAGAUUUCUCCAGUGGGCUGAUGAAGAAGGCAGGCUCGAGGUACAAGCACAUAUUGCUUUCAGGUAUGUUCAUGGGGCGUUUAGGGACAGCUUGAUCUAUUUAAGAUGCAAAAGACAGUCCAAGAUAGACUGAAAAUUUGGAACAAAACUGAAAGACAUUAUGUUGUUACAACCAGAUAAACAGUCUGUUCCUCUCUCAAAAUUAAGCAGAUUUGACUACAGUUAUUUCUACGUUAUAUUCUCCUGUUGUGUACUUCAGAUGAAGUUCUGUCUCCAGAGAAUUAAACACCUCUGUAUCCACAUGGCUGCCCUGGUCCAGUUGGGGAAUGCAACCUGUCCCUGGAAAGAAGUUACCCAUAAACAGUGAAAAUACUUGUCAAAAUUGUACAGAGAGCCUUUUAAUUAAAAGUAAAGCAAAGCAAAACAAACCCCAGCCUAAUUAUGUUAGUCUCAUGAUGAGGAAUUCAGCCUACUCUUACUUUACUGUACCUGCAGCUCUCAUUUUUCAAUGGCUGGGAAUAGAUAUACAUAUUCAAUGCUUGCCCUGGUUCUAGAACUGCAUUCAGUCCAAAACGUAAAAUCACUUUGGUUAAAUGCUCUGUCCUUCUUAAGUCUCCAGCCUUGAAGUUUUCACUCAUCAGUGUAGUGCCAGUAUUCAGACCCUGGCUUUCAUCCUGGAGGCAGGAGGGUCAGUGUUUCAUGCUCAGGGUGUCAGAGGUUUCCAGUCAGAUGUUGGACAAAACACCGCUUUUCAAGGAGACUCUCACAAGCUGCUGGAGCUUUCUGAGCCUAUUUUGUCCAAGAAAAAAAUAUUUUAGAUCCAUAAUAAGGAGUUUAUUCCAGGUCUUUUUCUAUUUUGUAUGCAGUAUUUUAGUUAUGGCUCUACCCAUGCCAACACCACAGGCUGCUAUUUUGCUGUUGUUCCUAUGAAUGAAGUAAAUAGCUCUGCAUUCCAGCUCAUGAUAAUAACACAGCUAUAUUCCUAGUUGGCCUUGGCCAAAACAAGCUAUUAAAAUGAGUUUUGGUUUGUCACGUUUCAUGUUCUGAAUCAUCUUCAGGAAGUGUGGAUCUGGUGGAAAGGCACUGAACAGGCAGGAAAAAUGAACCUCUCAUGCCAGGAUCCACUGGGACAAAAGCAAUAACGUUCCUUGUCUCCUAAUGUGCAAAUGUGUGUGCGGAAAAAGGCUCAUUUUUUAAUGUGUUCAAAACACAGUGCCCCUUUUUUUGCCAGUUGUAACUCACGGUGAAAUUCCUGUGCUGACUCUCCUCUGUCUUCUGCUGCGGGGAGUGGGCAGUGGAAAAUGCAGCACGAGGUUUCGCCAAGUGCUUCCCUGUUACUGGAGUAAUUUUGCUCAAUGGUUUUUCCGAUAGGGUGAAAAGAAGGUUAUCUCAUAUGACUUGAACUGUGCAGCCUGAUACAAUCAUUAGGAAGCUUUGACUGUGUAAUAACUAACUUGUGAUAUUAGUGCAGCUUUCUGCAGGUGCCUCUCUGAAGCUCCUACCUUGGCAGCCGCUGUGGGCAGCCUCCCCUAUCGUGGAGGCAGCCCAUGAUGGCAGUCACUGGUGGGGAUGGUGGGCUGAAGAGACCAUCCUUGCGUUCACUGUGUGACGCUGCUGCCUUCUGCCUUGAUGUGCAUGAAGAAGGCUUGAGCCCUUUCUGCUCCCCACACUCGCCACCCCAUGUUCUCCUUGGCACAGGCUCAUUGCUUUAUUUGUGUGGGGUUGCAUCUGUGCCUGGAUCCCAUUGGACCUUGGUGAGGAUCCAACAUCAUUCAUUUCAUGGGAAAAGCUUUUUUGAAGGGACCAGAAGAUUUCAGGGCAGUCAGGAGAGAGGCGUUCUCCUCAGCAAAACAAGCCUCUGAGUGGCUGCCAAUUAGCUGCUGUAACAGCUCAUGAUGUCAGGUAGUGUUUGAAAGGCAGAGAUUUAUAAUCCAGGGUCACAUAAUCUCUAUGGCAAAUCAAAUCUGUGAUGAAAAAAAGCAACCCUGUAAUAAAAAGAUUCAACACAGGAAGUCCGAUAAACUGUUAAUUUUACUUAAGAUAAUUACGGUAUUUACAUCUAGAUAGUGCUGACAGUCCAAGGCUUUGAUAAACUCUAAUGUGAUUUAUGGGCAGCAGAAAGGAUCUGGGUUGAACUCAUUGUCCUCACCUCAGGCACAUCUGCUCUAUGUGCAAAGCUCUGAUGAACACUUGCUGCCACAAUAGACAGGACUGGCCACAAGUGCCUCCUGUCAGAAGCAUGACAUCUUCAUGGGCUGCUGUUCAGGAGUGACCAGGGAUUAUUAAAUACUAAUGAAGAUACUACAG